UACAGAGGUGGCAAGCGUUGUUCGGAAUUACUGGGCGUAAAGGGCGCGUAGGCGGCCUUCUAAGUCAGACGUGAAAUCCCCCGGCUUAACCUGGGAACUGCGUCUGAUACUGGGAGGCUUGAGUAUGGGAGAGGGAUGUAGAAUUCCAGGUGUAGCGGUGAAAUGCGUAGAUAUCAGGAGGAACACCGGUGGCGAAGGCGGGUCUCUGGGCCGAUACUGACGCUGAGGAGCGAAAGCGUGGGGAGCGAACAGG
rnacentral:rRNA from 1 species